UCUCGAUAACGUAAAAGUUAACUCAAAUUUGUAUGGAGUUGGAACGUUUGCCUAUUUUUGCCGCUAGGGGCGCCUUUCCAACUGCAUACAAAUGCGAGUUAACUUUUACGCUAUCGA
rnacentral:pre_miRNA from 9 species